UACGUAGGGGUCGAGCGUUGUCCGGAUUUACUGGGUGUAAAGGGUGCGCAGGCGGACUGGUUAGUCUGGGGUGAAAUCUCAUCGCUUAACGGUGAAACUGCCUUAGAUACUGCCAGUCUUGAAUCAGCGAGAGGUUCGUGGAAUUCUGAGUGUAGCAGUGAAAUGUGUAGAUAUUCGGAAGAACACCAGUGGCGAAAGGCAGCGAACUGGCGCUCGAUUGACGCUCAGGCACAAAGCAUGGGGAUCAAACAGG
rnacentral:rRNA from 1 species